UCUCUCUCUCUCAGCAGCCACAGGCCACACGCCUGAAAAGAGUGGAGUAACAUUAGACCUGUCGCUGCAAGCAACGUUCUGUCAGUGUGAGUUUACUGAGCUGACUGAAAUGGAGUAUCCCCUGGUCACGACAGAGAGAGGAUGGAGGGAGAGGAGGGAGUAAGAUAGAGAAAGAAUGUUGGAGUCUGUCUCAUUCCUAAAGAGUACGAGAGAGUAUGAGAGAGUGUGGCAUAAGAUUGUAAAAUAAACAGGUUGGCCCUCUCCCCAAACCCUCCCCAACACGUUUGAAGAAUUACCCUAAUUUCUGCUAGCUGGCCACCCCAGGCCUUUCACUCUGACUGUGUUUGGCACAUCCACCCCCACACACUCCCUCUCUGUCUAAAUGUUAUCAUUGUGCAAUUCUAAGCACUUUCUACUUUUGUUGGUUCCAUUUCUUUUACCUUACACAUCUUUUUUCUCUUUUCUCUCUUUUUUUCUCUCUCCAUGUCUUUCUCCCUCUCUCGCUAUCCCUCUUUCUCCUCCUUGUCUCGCUUUCUCUCUGUCCCUCCAUCUCUCUCUGUUUUUCCUUCCAUCACUUUUCGACUGGUGGCUAGGCAGCUGGUUCCAGGCCCAACUCUCUCCAUCGGUGACGGGACUUUUGACGACGAAGGCAUCCAUGGGCUCUCUCCUCACUCCCCUGUGCCAAAUACCAUAACUCCUCUUUCUUUACCCUGCUCACUUGUAUAAUUUCACUAUUUUUCAAUGUCAGGACCGACCCUUUAUAAUAAUUUUUAUUGAAUUUCCUGAUGGACCCAACCGCAGGGAUCAUUUCUUCCAUCCCUCUUUUCUUCCUUCACUGUAUUCUCUCCCUUACACGUUUUAACUCUCUCCCUUACUUUAGCAUUUUUCUCUCCUUUUCUUUCUGUCUUUACAUCUAUCUAUUGUACAGACACCCAUCCCCUCCAUUGUCCUUGAUUUGAAUCUUUCUUUAUUGUGCCAGUAUAUCUCUUUCUCUACUUCACCGACAUUCUUGGUCAAGACUGGGAGAGACAGCAGGUCAUCUGUAGAGGCACUUUCUGAACCCCAAGGUCUCUUUUAACUGAAGUAAUACACACCAAUAUACAAUAUGUCAAGAUCACCGUCCAAUCAUAUUAGAAAUAGUAGUCUGUAAUACUACUAGUAGACUUUAAUACUAUCAUGUCCUGCUCUGAUGUUUAUUUUGAAUGGUCCUUGCCACUGAUGUGGCCAUCUGUCUUGUAGAUGUAAAAGCAGUACUUCUUAACCACUUGUUUUUGCUAUCCCUCCUCUGCUGUCAUAACUCAUCUAUAGAAUCGUCUCCUUGUCAUUUUUACAGCAUUAAAACAUCUCAGAGUUGACUAAAUGGAAUGAGAAAAAACCCCUUCACUUCUCCCUGAGCCUCUCAGAGUUCACAGGAGUUAAUGUGUUUUGGCAGUAGCAGAUGCCUCGCUCUCUCUCUCCUCUCAGAUGUGUGUGAAAGAAAAGAAUGUCACCCAAGUCUAAUCAAAUCACUGGCAUUAUAACGUACGUCAAGCUUUCACUUCCAAUAUCAACCUCUCUGCUGUGAUGGUUUCUAUGUUUCUCUCUCUCUUUCUCUCUCUUUCUCGUUCUAGCUUUCCUAUGCCUUUCUCUACCCCCCCUCUCUCUUUCGCUCUCUCUCUCUUGAUCAGACAGUUUUCUUGUGACAAAAUGUAGAUAACAUCUCGUGGAGUGGGUGUAGAGGAGGGAAUGUUCUUUAAUAACAGGUUGUGGAUCAUAUGGUUGAAGUGAGUGUCUGCUGAUGUUUGUGUGUGGGUGUGUCAGCACUGGCCCUCUUGUGACCUCUUAAUUACACAUCACAUGUCUGAUCUUAUUGGUGUCUGCUGUCUGAACCCUGUCAUGUGCUCUCUUUGCCAAUCUGUCACACUUAAUCUGGUCGGAAAGGAAACAGUAAAAGGAGAGAGGCCUCCAGUGCUCCAGGAACGCUUGGGGUUGGAAGAAGAAAAAAUAAAGAGAGACAAGAGAGACAGAAGAAACAAAGGGAAAAGAAAAGCAGGAGAAAAUCACAACGGCGUUCCAUUCCAGCGCCGGGAACGGCGUCGAUGAUUUGCUGAGGGGGAUGAAGGGAGUAGAGAGAAAGGAGGGCGUGAGAUGAGAGAACAAUAAGCCUGUUGUUCUUUAAUCGGUGGUGAAUCAUCUGUCUCUCCCUCUGUCAGGUGUUGCUGAGAAGAGAGAGAAAUAAAGAGAGAGAGAGAUUGAAAGAUCAAGCUGUGUGGCUCAUAAUAUCACACACUAACCAGCUAGCACAUUCUGAGAACCAUAUGUUUGUUACAGCUUGUUGAGAGCAUGGUAGUCCUAUAGUUAUUUUGCAUCCAACCUUCCCACAAUGUUCUGGGAAUGGUGCAGGAUAGUUCCUUGGCUUUGGAACAUUUAAGGAACAUUUAAGGAAAGUGAAAAGAACACUUUAUUUUCUUGGUAAUUCAUUACUUUAAAAAAAAUGUUUCCUAAAAUUUGAACAUGAUUACAUUUAUUUUAAAUGUUGUAAUGGCUUGGAACAUUCUUCAACUGGUUUGACAUUGGGAAUGUUCUCAAAUAGUUCAGAGAAACAACGUUCUUCUGUGGGAAUUUCAGUACCUCAGCAUAACGCUUCCUACUGGUUUGCUCAAGGUUGUAUUUACAGUCAUGUUAUAAAAUUGUUCCCAAAACAGUUAAGAAACAAUGUUCUUCUGUAGGAAUUUCAGUACUUCGGCAAAACGUUAUAUACAGGUUUCCUCAUGGUUUUAUUCAAAGUCAUGUUAUUCAAUUGUUAUGGGAAAGUUAAUUCUUCUUCUGUG
ensembl:lncRNA